GACGAACGCUGGGGCGUGUUUAACACAGCAAGUCGAACGCUGAAGACUGGCUUUUGUGGGUGGGAUGAGUGGCGAACGGGUGAGUAACACUGAGUAACCUCCCCCCUUCUUGGGAUAACGCCCGGAAACGGGUGCUAAUACGGAUAUUCACUGGCCUUUGCAUGGGGGUUGGUGGAAAGGUUUUUUCUGGUGGGGGAUGGGCUCGCGGCCUAUCAGCUUGUUGGUGGGGUGAUGGCCUACCAAGGCUUUGACGGGUAGCUGGCCUGAGAGGGUGACCGGUCACAUUGGGACUGAGAUACGGCCCAGACUCCUACGGGAGGCAGCAGUGGGGAAUAUUGCACAAUGGGCGAAAGCCUGAUGCAGCGACGCCGCGUGAGGGAUGGAGGCCUUCGGGUUGUAAACCUCUUUCGCUCAUGGUCAAGCCGCAACUUGGGUUGUGGUGAGGGUAGUGGGUAAAGAAGCGCCGGCUAACUACGUGCCAGCAGCCGCGGUAAUACGUAGGGCGCGAGCGUUGUCCGGAAUUAUUGGGCGUAAAGGGCUUGUAGGCGGUUGGUCGCGUCUGCCGUGAAAUCCUCUGGCUUAACUGGGGGCGUGCGGUGGGUACGGGCUGACUUGAGUGCGGUAGGGGAGACUGGAACUCCUGGUGUAGCGGUGGAAUGCGCAGAUAUCAGGAAGAACACCGGUGGCGAAGGCGGGUCUCUGGGCCGUUACUGACGCUGAGGAGCGAAAGCGUGGGGAGCGAACAGG
rnacentral:rRNA from 1 species